UUUACAUCAUCCACUCUGCUUGUAAAGUUCCCUUCGAUGUUAUUUCGGGUUUUCGCCUUUCGUAGCUGGCUGUAGGUCGAAUUCCAUAGACCGACUCGAGGCUUCUUCCACCUUUCCCAUUCACUAGCAUCUUUAAUUUUCUAUCCAGCCUGGAGAUCCCAGCCAGGACGACGGAUGCGUAGGGCCGAGGACAUCGGUUGGAUUCCAGAGAGAUACGUAAGAUUUCUGGAGAACCUUAACACCAGAAGAGGUAGCCGUUUGGGAAACAGCGGAAACGUCCUAGAAUUACAAGUCCUAACUCAAUUACACCACGUUCCCUGAAGGUAGCUUUAAUUUGGAUUACUAAGUGGUCCAUUUUGAUCUAAUUCUACAAAUUAACUGCAUCUACUCUCGGAGACUACCGAUCUCUUGAAUCCAACAGUACAAAAUGCGAGGUUACGAAAUUAACCCUUUCAAUCAGUCUGGAAGUCGAGAUAACAGAGAGAAUUACGGAAUAAAAAAGUCCGACUACAAAAGUCGGGCGAGUAAUUUUCAAGCAAAACACAAAGCAGCGGACGACAA